GACGAACCGUGCGAACGUUGUUCGGAUUCACUGGGCUUAAAGGGCGCGUAGGCGGGCGCGUAAGUCCGGGGUGAAAGCCUCCAGCUCAACUGGAGAACAGCCCUGGAUACUGCGGGCCUCGAGGGGGGUAGGGGCGGGCGGAACUUCCGGUGGAGCGGUGAAAUGCGUAGAGAUCGGGAGGAACAUCAGUUGCGAAGGCGGCUCUCUGGACCAGCACUGACACUGAGGCACGAAAGCGUGGGGAGCAAACAGG
rnacentral:rRNA from 1 species